CAGAAGCAUUUCUUUUUCUUUCGGGCUCCAUUUUGUUAUGGAGAGAUGUGUGGGUUUUUUUUGUCUUUGCGAGAGUAAUUUCGUGGGUUUUUUUGUUUUGUUUUUUUGGUGGCGACUCAUUCCGUUGGCAGAUGCGGACGCGGUACCUUUUAAAGACAGUUUGGUGCGUUGGCAAUGAGCGAUACAGCAGCUGUAUCGAUCACGUGACUUUUUCUUAAAGCGAUGCACGCACCGAUACAGGCUUCGCUCUGUGAGCUUGAUACAUGCGCCGGUGCGUCAGUGUUGCUGGACCCAUCACUAGUCACAACUAAAUUUAGAGGGAAGGAUUCAGAUAUUAGUCUAGGUGAAUGGAAAAGUAAUUUGCAGACAACAUUUGCUUUGCAAGGAGUUCCUGUAGAUUUUAGAGCAGAAUUAACACUGUUGCUUAGAAGGCAAGGCUAAAAGAGAGAUUUUAAUUCUACCACCAGAGAAGCGUAAUUCACCUGAGCUAAUUUUUAAUGAGUUAGAUAAGUUGUAUGGGGAUAAAACAACUGCUUCGGUCCUGCGCUCUCAGUUCUUCAAUGCUCGUCAAGAAACACAUGAAGACAUCAGUUCAUUUGCACUGAGAUUACAAGAACAUUUUCUCAGGUUAAAGAGGAAGGACCCUAGAGGUAUGAAUGAUGAAGAUAUUCUUCUCAGAGAUCAUCUGGUUGAAGGCUUGAGAGACACUGCCCUUAGAGGUGAAUUCAGAACAAAAAUUCUAAUGAAUGAUCAGUUGACAUUUGCAGAAAUUAAAGCAGAACUAAUCCUGAGUGAACAUGUUUAUGGUGAAAUGGUUGAGCCAGUCCAUUGUUUUGCUGCCAAAGGGGAAAGAUACAAGACCUGUAAUGUUAAGGAUAUGGAACAGAUCAAGUCAGAGUUGUGGGAUGACAUGAACAAGCAAAUGACCACCCAAUUCAAUGAUUUAUCACAGACUUUGAUCAAAGAAAUCCGAUCAGAACUUCAUCAGGCUACACAAAAGACUGUGGACUGGAAACAGACUGACCAGUACAGGUCAAGAAAGAAAGGAGGGAGCAGACCCAGAGUCCACUCAAACAGGUAUGAUGAACAAGGUAGCCCCAUCUGUAACACUUGUUCCCAGCCGGGCUACAUAGCAUGGUUCUGUAAAAGCAAGCCUAGAUCUGGAUCGUUAAACUAGACGACACCACUGUGGCGGCCCAGACAGUGGGUUGUGUCGAUGCCAAUGGGCCUCAAACUGAUGUGAAAAAACUAAUUGGAAAAGUUCCUAAAGUCAGCUUGUGUCUUGAUGAUGUCCCAAUACAGUGUAUUCUUGAUACUGGAUCAAAUGUGUAACUGAUAAAGAACAGCUAUUUCUCUAAACACUUUGGCAGUAAUGGUAUGAACUUGAAGGAUGCAAGCAGCUGGCUGGCGCUCAAGGCUGCUAAUGGACUAGAUAUUCCAUACCUGGGCUAUGUAUUGCUACAUGUGAAGGUUGGACAGGUGGAACUCCCUGAAUGUGGCUUUUUGGUGAUUAAGGACCAAUGUUUAACCGACAGUGAAGGCGUCCUGGGUAUGAAUGUUAUUUCACAGUGCUACGAAAAAAUGGAUCAGGAGAAGCCAUUAGCCCACCUCUCCUCUAGUGGGGCCGAACAGAGAGUUUGGACUACUGCUUUUCAGAUUUGUGCCAGUCAGGCACGGUUUGCAGCUUCAGAUGGGUCCAUUGGGUAUGUAUGUACCGUAAAUCGCCAUCCUAUACAGAUUCCUCCUCGGAGUGAGAUGUUGGUUUGGGGUCGUACGAAGACUGGAGUGGACGGCAGGGAUUAUCAAUGCCUGGUGGAACCUGUCGAGGUGGGUGAAGUCUUAAUUGCUAGAACAUUAUCUACAGUCCAUGAUGGGAGGCUUUUGAUUAGGGUCCAAAACCUUAAUGACUCACCAAUGUACCUUUACAGACAUCAGAAGUUGGCUAAGACUUUUAUUAUUGAUCCAGCAGAUAUCAUACAAGAGAAUAGUGUGAACAUGACUUGUGUUGGUGUAAACACAGAGUGAGUAUGGACCAAAAGCAAGCCCUGCCCAAGGAGAAAUGCAUGUUCCCUGAUUUAACUAGUCUUCAUUUGUCCACAGAGGAAUUGGAGAAACUGCAGGCUUUAUUGCAUAAGCACCAAGCAGUGUUCGCUGUGCAUGAGGAAGAUUAUGGAUUGACAAGCACCAUGCAGCAUUCAAUUCCUACGGGCAAUGCUGCACCAGUCCAUGAGCGCUAUAGACAAAUUCCACCAAAGUUAUAUCAGGAGGUGAAGAGAGGCGAAACUGGCGAGAUCACCUGCCUGAGAUGAUCCAGGUAUAUAACAAUACAGUGCACAGUUCUACAGGAUAUUCACCACAUUAUUUGAUGUUUGGAAGGCAUGGAUUUCUUCCCCAGGAUCGGCUGAUGGGCCUUACUGAAAAUGUGGGCUGCUCUUCUGUGAGCAACUGGGUGCAAUGCCAUCAGAGACGGCUGCAGUAUGCCUUCCAAAAAGCUCAGGACCAGAGACUCUGAAAUGUCCCGGCAAAAGAAAUAUUAUGACCUGAAAACGGAUGCUCUUCCAUCGCUGCCUGGAGAGAGUAUUGCUACAGGACUUGAGAGCAAGGGGCCGAGACAUGCAGAACUCUAAGAGUGAGGUGGAGACAGCCAGGCAGGAAGAUUUAAAAACUGGAAAUGCAUUGCCACACACUGGUAGAUCUCCAGCUGCUCCACCCUGGGUUGGGUUUUGGCUUCCUACAGAAAUCCCUCUCGAUGCUGGCCCAGAAGACAUCGAGACAGGACCCAUUCAUCAAGAACCCAGACGGUCAACAAGAACAACCAAAGGACUGCCUCCACAGAGAUUUGGAGACUAAUAUUUAUAGAUUACAUGGUCAUUGGGACAAUGACCAUUUCAGCAGGGAGGGGUGUAACAUGGUAGACUAAUGUGCCUGUGUUGAUUCAGCUCCAUAUUAUUGUGUGAAGUUGCACUGGGUUGGGAGUGUGUGUGUGUGUGUGUGUGUGUGUGUCACAUUUUUGGUGAGCCAAUGGCUGGAAUGGGGUUGGACUAAUUAGAGGCAGGUGUACUUGAUUGCACUGAUACACUGGUCUACUUAUAGCCCACACUACAAACACUGCUGUGUCAUUUUGUCUCUCUGUGCAGGUAUGUAAUGUGAUGAAAUUGGAUAUGUUUGGGAUGGAUGGGUUUUGUGCUAUGAAUUCUAUAGUGAGUGUGUCAUUUUGUCUCUCUGUGCAGGCCAGGGCCUAUUAUAUGCCACAGCCUAAAGGCAGCAGAGUUGCAGAGGCUGGAGUGACCACUGGCUAUAUGCUUACAGGGUGGUGGGUCUCAGACGACAACUUCUAACCCUGUUAAAGGCAACACGUGGAGUGCAACUGGUCGUGUGGCAUAGCUGGCUCUGGCCUUGGGACUGUGUGUUUUUAUUUGAUUCAUAAAUGGGACACUGGACUGUUUUAUAUUUUAUCUCUUGAUUAUUUGUCACUAAAUUGUCUUUUAGAA